GUCCAUCAACUGAUGAAUGGAUGAAGAAAUUCUGGUUUAUAUACACAAAGAAAUGUACUUUAAAAAUUUUUAUUUUUAUUUUAGAGAGAGAGAGCAUGAAAGGAGGAGAGAGGCAGAGGGAGAGAAAAAGAGAAUCUCUGAAUGGAUCCCAAUGUGGGGCUCAGUCUCACAACCGUGAGAUCAAAAUCUGAGCCAAUAUCAAGAGAUGCUUAACUGAUGGAGCCACCCAGGUGCCCCCAGAAAUGUGCUUGAGGAGCAGAAAAGCCAAGAUUAUAGGAUAUCAAGAUGGGAUUGUGGCUGAGCUGGAAGAGAAAAGAACAUCACCAAUAGAAAAAAACUGAGAGUAAUAGGGCUUUAGGUGUUAAGCCCCUCUUUUGGGCAGAGGAAGCAUCCAAAUCCAAGAGCCCUAUGAACCUGGUGGUAAAGCAGAUCUGCUCUGCUUCUUUUUGCCCAAAGUACUACCAACAUGCAGCACAACUCAACGGCAUGUUCUUUAUGAAGGCUUCUCCCCCUUCUGUGCUCCAUGUGCCUCUAUUCGAACACUGUCCUGAGGACAAAAAACAUGUCUGGCAUUUCUCCAUGUCUAGAGCGUGGUGUACCUAGGAUAUUGCAGGUGCUCAGCAAAUGUCUGCUGAAUGAAUAAAUUGACAUGACUGUUGGACUAAAAUAAAUCA
rnacentral:lncRNA from 1 species